CACACACUAAGGAUGGGAGGCCAACUGCCGCCCACUCCCGUUAUGCCGGGUAAUAUAAUUCCCUUAAAGUCUCCUUGGAGAAAAGUUAUGACCAACGUAGACCGCAUUUGAAAAGCAGAGACAUUACUUUGCCAACAAAGGUCUGUCUAGUCAAGGCUAUGGUUUUUCCAGUGGUCAUGUAUGGAUGUGAGAGUUGGACUAUAAAGAAAGCCGAGUGCCAAAGAAUUGAUGCUUUUGAACUGUGGUGUUGGAGAAGACUCUUGAGAGUCCCUUGGUCUGCAAGGAGAUACAACCAGUCCAUCCUAAAGAAAAUCAGUCCUGAAUAUUCAUUAGAAGGACUGAUACUGAAGCUGAAAUCCCAAUACUUUGAACACCUGAUGUGAAGAACUGACUCACUGAAAAAGACCCUGAUGCUGGGAAGAUUGAAGAUGGGGCUGGUAAUCUGUGUGAGCCUACUUCUGCUGACUUCAAAAAUCCUGAGUCUGCCGUUUGAUCCUCAAGACAGUGCCUUCCUGUCCUGGGCUCCCUCCUAU
ensembl:lncRNA